GGCUGUUCGAGUUGUCUCAAACUCCUGACCUCAAGCAAUCAGUCCUGCCUUGGCCUCCCAAAGGGCUGAGACGAGAGGCAUAAGCAACCCCACCCAGCUGCCUGUCCUUCCUUACUGUGUUGUCAAGGAUUCAUAGGAGCCCUCACAGACUCUGCCUUACCAAACAUGUAAAAAGUAAACGUGGCUGGAAGAACACACACCAAAAGAUCAACAGCGAUUACUCCGGGGAGUGGUGGGCACUGGCCUGAAUGGAAACCUUUCGUCUGGUGGCUUAACCAUUCCACUAUAAAGGAAGGAAGGCAAGAGGAGAAAACAAGGAGGCAAGGAAGGAAAGAAAAGAAAGAAAAGGAGAUGGAGAAAAAGAAAGAGAAUGAGAAGGAGGAGGAGAGGCUGAGGUGGGAAGAUCACUUGAGGCCAAAGUUCAAGACCAGCCUGGGCAACAUAGCAAGACCUCAUCUCUACAAAAAAUAAAAAAUUAGCCAGGCAUGAUGGUAUGCACCUAUAGUCCUAGCUACUCAGGAGGCUGAGGCAGGAGAAUCGCUUGAGCCCAGUAAUUAGAAUGCAACAAGGUAGAAUUGUGCCACUAUGCUCCAGCCUGGGCAACAGGGUAGGACCCUGUUUAAAAAAAAAAAAAAAAAUAGAGGAAGGGACAAAAAAGAGGAGAAAUAAAAAUAAAACAAAUAUUUAAUGCAUUAUUUUACAUUAAUGUAAACAAAUCCAUGAUGAACAAACUAUCAAAAUGUUCAAUGAAGACAGGCUCAAUAUCACUGAUUUUUCCUUUUGUCUGAGGUUCCAGUAUGGCUCAGCAUGACACGGACACCCACAUUCAUUUAUGGGAGCGUGCUGGCUUUGUUUGUUCUUACUAAGAUUUGAGAAUCCGUGGGCCCAGGUGAAUAUCUGGAGCUGGUGUGUAGUAGCUAGCGAGAGCCUAUUCAAUGCAACUCUUUCCAACUCCAUGUUAAGAACAUGAUAUUGAUAUCAAACAUGGUGAGAGUGUUUAAUCAGGGAAAUUGGCUAAGGCUACAAAUUAGGGGCUUCCUCCCCAACCCC
rnacentral:lncRNA from 1 species